rnacentral:lncRNA from 1 species
CAAAAGAAUUCCAAAGAAAUAAUAAGAAAUUUUAAAGAAAUAUUAAAAUGAUUACAAAUAUAUCUCAAAUACAUCUCAAUUCAAUCUUAAUUUAAUCCUAGUUAAAAUCUUAUUCGACUUAAUUUAAACUUUAGGCCAAAAACUAACUAAAUCUUAAAUCCUAAACAAACUCAAAUAAAAUCCUAAACCCUAAAUCAAAUCUUAAUCAAACCCUAACUAAACCUUAAACCCUAAAUCAAAUCCUAAAUCCUUAAUAAAAUCUUAAAUCCUAAUCAAAUCCUAAAUCCUAACCAAACCUUAAAUCCUAAACCCUAAAUCAAAUCCUAAUCUUAAAUCAAAUCCUAAAUAAAUCCUAAUCCUAAAUCAAAUCCUAACUAAAUCCUAAUCAAAUCCUAAAUCCUAAACCAAAUCCUAAUCAAAUUCUUUUCCUAAAUCAAAUCCUAACCAAAUCCUAACCCUAAAUCAAAUCCUAAAUCCUAAACCAAAUCCUAAUCAAAUUCUUUUCCUAAAUCAAAUCCUAACCAAAUCCUAACCCUAAAUCAAAUCCUAAUCAAUCCUAAAUCAAACUCUAAAUCUUAAACCAAAUCCUUAGUAAAUCCUAAUCCUAAAUCAAACCCUAAAUCCUGAUCCAAAUCCUAACCAAAUCCUAAUCGUUAAUCAAAUCCUAACCAAAUUCCAAAUCCUAAUCCAAAUCUUAACUAAAUCCUAACCCUAAAUCAAACCUUGACCAAAUCCUAAAUCCUAAACCAAACUCUAAUCCUAAAUCAAAUCAUACCCAAAUCAUAAUCAAAUCCUAAAUUCUAAACCAAAUCUUAACCAAAUCCUAAUCCUAAAUCAAACCCUGACCAAAUCCUAAAUCCUAAACCAAACCCUAAUCAAAUCCUAACUCUAAAUCAAA